UGAGAGUGGAACGAGAGGACCGACUGGCCAACAGGGGGAACCAGGUCCUGACGGCAUUGCUGGCUUUCCUGGAGAUCGUGGCCUGCAGGGGAAACCAGGGAAAGAUGGGCCACCAGGUCCCAAAGGAGAUGAUG